rnacentral:lncRNA from 10 species
CGAUGUACAACAAAGACUCUGAGGGGCUUGGAAUUGACAGGCCGGAGGUGGGGCCCGAGUUCCUGUCUCCAGCCCACGAUUUGCCGAUCCAUCUGUCUUCCUCAGAGAGAGAGGGCGGAUAAUGCAGACUGCGCUUCCUUGGAAGACGGCAGGCUCCAGGCCAGACAAACGAAGGUAUCAACCAUACAGAUGAAGAGCUGAGGCUCAGGGAAGGAAUUUGCCAAGGUCACGAAGCUGUAAGACACAGAACCUGGGGUGUCUGCCUGUAGAGCUCACACUGACUCUACAGCCACUGAUCCAAAGCUUCCAACUCCAGGGCCAUUGUUUUCCUGUUCUCCCCGCUCCAAGGCCUCUCCUCUCUCCUUGGCCCAACUCUCUGACAGUGAUGCAGUUCUGAAGGCCAGACGUCCAAAAUCAGAAUGGCAUUUGCUUGAAGGAUCCAGGGGAGAAUCCCUCCUUGCUUCUUCCAGCUUCUGGUGGCUCAUGGCAAUACCUUGACUUGUAGACAUAUCCCUCCAAUCUCUACUUAUGCCUUCAUAUCACCUUCUCUUCUCUUAUGAGAACAGUUGUCAUUGGAUUUAGGACCCACCCUAAUCGAAGAUGAUCUCACAUGUAGUUUAAUUACAUCUAUAAAAUAUGCUUUUCAGUAA